rnacentral:rRNA from 1 species
AGGAAAUAGAUACCCUGGUAGUCCACGCCCUAAACGAUGUCGACUAGGUGUUCGGUGAGGAGACUCAUUGAGUACCGCAGCUAACGCGUGAAGUCGACCGCCUGGGGAGUACGGUCGCAAGAUUAAAACUCAAAGGAAUUGACGGGGACCCGCACAAGCGGUGGAUGAUGUGGAUUAAUUCGAUGCAACGCGAAAACCUUACCUACCCUUGACAUGUACGGAACCCUGCUGAGAGGUGGGGGUGCUCGAAAGAGAGCCGUAACACAGGUGCUGCAUGGCUGUCGUCAGCUCGUGUCGUGAGAUGUUGGGUUAAGUCCCGCAACGAGCGCAACCCUUGUCAUUAGUUGCUACGCAAGAGCACUCUAAUGGGACUGCCGGUGACAAACCGGAGGAAGGUGGGGAUGACGUCAAGUCCUCAUGGCCCUUAUGGGUAGGGCUUCACACGUCAUACAAUGGUCGGUACAGAGGGUUGCCAAGCCGCGAGGUGGAGCCAAUCCCAGAAAGCCGAUCGUAGUCCGGAUCGCAGUCUGC